rnacentral:sRNA from 1 species
GCAGGGCAGUGAAAGAAGUCCUCGGGCUCCCGAGUCAGUGCUCUUCUUUACCCCUGGCUGACUUCCCAGUUAGAUUUUGUAUCUGGUUUUCACCACAUGUGAUGGUUGUUGCAAUUUGCAAAGGUUAAACUUGUCAAACAAGAAGCUUGCUGCAGCGCGAAUACUUGCACCUUAGAAGAGGGAAAAAAUGGAGCAGUUGCCAAGAGCAAGUCAAAAAACAUUCUGGUGAGAAUGGUGAGCCAAGCUGGGACAGGUUUCUGCUUCAACACCAAGAGAAACCGACUGCGGGAAAAACUGACUCUUUUGCAUUAUGAUCCAGUUGUGAAACAAAGAGUCCUCUUCGUGGAAGAGAAAAAAAUACGCUCCCUUUAAAUGGUGGAUUGAAAAUGACUUUGAUUUAUAAAGAGAAGACUGAGGGCGGGGAUACUGAUUCAGAAAUCCUGUAGCGUGUAAUAAAAGAAGAGGAAAUGGCAUGGAAUCACUGCCUCCUGUGAUUUGAAGGCCAUUGUGAAGGAAAACAAUGCAGUGAAAGAAAGUUCUUCAUAUUAGGACAGAUAUCAUUGCGUCACAUUUAUUUAUCUUUCUGG